GCAAACACAACCUUCUUCUUCUUCUUCUUCUUCUUCUUCUUCUUCUUCGAUCACUCUUAGCCAAGUAAGAUUGUCUUCCACGAACACAGUUUUAACAGUGAGUCCAUAGGUGACUGUGGAGGCCAAUUCUGGAUCCACACGUCUUUCCACAAUGGGGACAUAGGUUUCCAGGUGGGAGUUGAUCACGGUGAGGGUUUGCCAAGCGUGCCUUCCUCUUAGCGCGUUUCUCUCUUUCCUUCUGAGUUCGAGCGUCUUCAAAGACGAUGAUCAGGCAUCCACACAACAUGACCAGUCCAAGUUGAUGUUGAAGAAUCAUUGCUUUGACACUGGUGAUCUUUGCUUCUUCCAGUACACUGGCAUUAGUUUGCCAGCCUUCCAAAGUGAUGUGUAAGCAUUUUUGGAGACACCGUUGAUGGAAUCUUUUGAGGAGCUGGAGAUGCCAUUUAUAAGUGGUCCAUGUUUCACAAGCAUACAGUAAGGUUGGUAGUACAAUAGUUUUGUAAACAAGCAUUUUGGUUUCCCUGCAAAUGUCCUGGUCCUCAAACACUCUGCACUUCAAUCGGGAGAAAGCCGCACUUACAGAGCUCAGGCAAUACUGGAUUUCAGCAUCAAUGUCAGCCCUUGAGGAAAGAUAACUGCCCAGGUAGGAGAAGUGAUCAACAUUUUACAACGUUGCACCGUUGAGUUGGAUUUGUGUUGUUGCAGAGGGGUUGUUUUGUGCUUGUUGGUGCAGCACUUUGGUUUUUUGUAUGUUGAGUGAUAGGCCGAGCUUUUCACAAGUUUCUGCGAAUAUAUUUACGAUAGUUUGGAGGUCAUCCUCUGAGUGUACCAACACAACCACUGGGAUAGCUCAGUCAGUAGAGCACGAGACUCUUAAUCUCAGGGUCGUGGGUUUGAGUCUCAUGUUGGGCAAAAGAUUCCAGCAUUGCAGAGGUUUGGACCACAUGUUCCUUGUUGUCCCUUCCAACUCUAUAAUUCUAUGAUGCUACAAGUGCUGUUGCACAAGCCUAAGAGUGAGAAUAAUGGUUGCACAAUAUGAAAUCUAGUGCAAUAGUUGAAGCAUUAUUUGUCCAGGGCAGGCUAUUCUUACAGUACUUGAAGUCAAGAGAGUGUAUUUGUUCUGAAUGGAAAACAAAUAAUCUGUUGUUUUUAAUGGCAAGCCUGCUUAAUUCUUUAAUUAAUGGUUCUCUUUUCGAAACAGCCUCACUUUUUUUCUAAUGAAAUCUUGCUUUAAAGAAAGAAAGUGUUGGUUUCCAUUACCCAGGCUUUGAGGGCAAUCAGGUAAAAAAAAGUCUCGAAGAGUCUAUUUCAAGGAUUCCCAUGAUACCCGCAAAUACGCUGAGCUAGGUUUUUCCCCCUGCUGAUGGAUGACAUUGAUCUGGAAACAAAUGGGGUAUGUGUAAUUCAGAAGAAUGGCAAGGACUACUGCAUUUUCAUUAAUUGCUGACAGUGUAAUCCCACACACAACUUACUUGCGAAUAAGUUUCACUGAACUUAGGGGAAUGUACUGAUCAAUAAACACGUGCAGGCCUAUUAGUUUCAUUUCUGUUUCCUGAUGGAAACUUUCCAAGACAGGAACCCUUUAGAAAAUAUUUUUUUGGUCUCAACAAAUAUACAAAAAUAUAAUUCCUUAAUUGUAAUUCAGUGUCCUGUCUUCUGUACCCAGCUGAGAUCAAGAAAGGGAGCACAUUUCUUCAGCAAAGCAGUUAACUAAAACCCUUUUGAUAUUCUUCUUCUUUGAUCAGGGCUGGCGUCAGGGGUUGGCAGGGCCCAGGCCACAUUAGGGAGCCCCCUGCCAAUCCCUGGAGCCUCCUGGUUCUAUUGCUGCUUCUCCUUGCUGAUGCUACCCGUUUAUCUGCAAGCAAUGAAGUGAGAUGAUACAAUACGAUACAAUACAAUACGAUACGGUAUCUUUAUUGCCAUUGUCCCAUACAGAACAAUGAAAUUGAAAAAUCUACAUAAGACAUUCAAAAACCCCUAAAAACUCUGAAACCCCAUUUUAAAAUACAAUAUACUAUUGAGACUCCUUAUACUGCGUUUAAAACGAGAAUUGCAUUUGGGUAGAAACUGUUUUUCAGGUGGCUAGUCCUGGUCUUUAUAACCUUAUACCUUCUUCCAGAAGGCAGAAGCUGAAAGAGAUCAUUUCCGGGGUGUGUACUAUCCUGUGCUAUCUCUGCAGCUUUCUUAUGGCACCUGACAGCAUAGAUUUGAUCUAAGGUGGAAAGAGUGCACCCAAUUAUUAUCUCUGCAGUCUUUACAACCCUGGACAGCAUUGUUUUAUCCCUGGCCGUGCAGCUCACAAACCACACACAGAGACCAUAAGUUAAUACACUCUCCACAGUACAUGAUGGAGAAGAAAGAGCAGUAACUUAUUUUUAUUUAUUUAUUUUUUAUUUUUUUUGGACAAAAUAAUAAUCAUAAAUAAAUAAGAAUAAAAAUGUAUACCCCACCAUUGAAACCAUUCCAUUGUAACUAUCCAACCUCCCAAAAUUUCAACCGCUCUUGCGAUGGUUUUGCCUCUUUCUGUUUUAACAGUACAAAUUCUACAAACACUCUCCAUUCAAAACCAUUUCUUCUGCAUAUUCCCCAUCUUACCUUAAUGGCACAUGCUAAUUCAUCAUUAACAGCUAUAUCCCACACCUCUUUAUACCAUUUGUUCAUUUUAUAAGAGCAGUAGCUUAUGCGUACUUUGUCCUCUGUCUCAAGAGCCAGUGUGGUGUAGUGGUUAAGAGUGGUGGACUCGUAAUCUGGUGAACUGGGUUCGCUUCCCCGCUCCUCCACAUGCAGCUGCUGGGUGACCUUGGGCUAGUCACCCUUCUCUGAAGUCUUUCAGCCUCACUCACCUCACAGAGUGUGUUGUAGGGGAGGAAGGGAAAGGAGAUUGUUAGCCGCUUUGAGACUCCUUAAGGGGAGUGAAAGGCGGAAUAUCAAGUCUAAACUCUUCUUCUUCUUCUUCUUCUUCUUCUUCUUCUUCUUCUUCUUCGGGGUUUGGACUGAUACAGAGUCAUAGAAUCAUAGAGAGGGAAGGGUCCUGAGGAUCAGCUAAUCCAACCCCCUGAAAUGGAGCUGUCCUUUAUGGGGAUCAAACCUGCAACCUUGGCGUUAUCAGCACCAUGCUCUAACCAGUUGCGCUACCCAGUCAAGGGCAAACAAAUAGGCAGUGGCAAUGGUAUUGAGGAGGAGAGCACCCACGAAGUGCAUCUUUCCCAAAGCCUCCCCCAAAUCCAAAACUGGUAGUAUCUUUAAUGAACAGGGGAUCUCAUUUGUACCUGAAGGAGCAUCUCCACCCCCAUCAUUCAGCCCGGACACUGAGGUCCAGCUCCAAGGGGCUUCUGGCCUUCCCCUCCCUAUGAUAAGUGAGGUUACAGGGAACCAGGCAGAGGGCCUUCUCAGUAGUGGCGCCCACCCUGUGGAAUGCCCUCCCACCAAGGAAAUAAACAAAUAUCUGACUUUUGGAAGACAUCUGAAGGCAACCCUGUUUUGGGAAGUUUUUAAUGUCUGAUGUUUUAUCGUGUUUUUAGUGUUCUGUUGGGAGCCGCCCAGAGUGGCUGGGGAAACCCAGCCAGAUGGGUGGAGUAUAAAUAAAUUGUUGGUGGUGGUGGUGAUGUUGUUGCUAAUGCCACAAACUGCUUCAGAGUUAUCCAUAUAUACCAAAACACAGGAAAUAAGCACACAGGGUGAACUUAUGCGUGUUUUCUGAAACAUUAGCCUCAUCGUGUUCAUGGUGUGCAUAGGGUCAUAUCCUUAGAAUAAGCGUCACAUUAAAUUGAAUGCUCUUAAAAAAAAUGUUACU
rnacentral:lncRNA from 1 species